GGCCUGUUAGCCCAGUUGGUUAGAGCGUCGUGCUAAUAACGCGAAUGUCGUGGGUUCGAUCCCCACAUGGGGCCA
rnacentral:tRNA from 1 species